rnacentral:rRNA from 1 species
AUCUUUCUACAAACACUUUCCUAGUACCUCUACUUUGUUACGACUUAUUCCAAUUUUUAAAUGAAAGUGACGGGCAAUAUGUACAUAUUCCAAUUUUUAAUCAUUUUAUUAAAUUAAAUAAAAUUACAUUUAAAUCCACCUUCAAUUAAUUAUUUCAAAAUUAAUAUUCAUAUAUUUAAUUAUAUUGUAAUCCAUCAUAUUCUUAAUUAUUAUUUACAUCUUGAUCUGAAUUAAUUUUAAAUUAUAAUUUUUAAAUAUUAUUUUUUUUUAAAAAUAUUUUUUUAACAACGAUAUAUAAAAUUAUAAAUUAAGUAAAUUUAUUCGUGGAUUAUCAAUUAUUAGACAGAUUCCUCUAAAUGAACUAAAAUACCGCCAAAUUAUUUAAGUUUCAAUAAAUUAUUAUCUACUAUUUUAGUAUUUUUAAUUAAUUUUUUUUU